CAAAAGAGUGGGAAGAGCUUUGAGUAGAGGUGAUAAACCUACCGAGCCCAGUGAUAGCUGGUUGCCUGAGAAAUGAAUAGGAGUUCAGCCCUUCCGUUUUCCCCCCCCCCGUCUUUCCACAAGAUAAAGGAAAAUUAAGGAGUUAAUCAAAGGGGGUACAGCCCCUUUGAUCAAAGAAACAACUUUUACAGGUGAAACAAGACCAUAAUAACCAAGGGCAAAAACCUAAGUGGGCAUAAAAGCAGCCAUCUUAAAAGAAAGCGUUAAAGCUCUAACCAGCCCGCAUCCCCCUUAUUCUGAUAAUAAAUCUUCCCCCCUGCUUCUUACCAGGCUGUCUUAUGCCCCCAUAAGAACAAUUAUGUUAAAAUAAGUAAUAAGAAGAUACGCUCUUCUCCUAGCACACGUGUAAGUCGGACCGGACCCCCCACCGACACCUACCCGACCCCAAACCCAGAGGGACAUAAGUUGAAAAAACAAGAAAACCGCUUAAAAAAAAUCGUUAACCCUACACAGGAGUGCACUAAGGAAAGACUAAAAGAGGGGGAAGGAACUCGGCAAACCCAAGCCUCGCCUGUUUACCAAAAACAUCGCCUCUUGAUUAUCCUAUAUAAGAGGUCUCGCCUGCCCACUGACUAUAUGUUGAAUGGCCGUGGUAUCUUAACCACGCUAAGGUAGCGUAAUCAUUUGUCUUUUAAAUGGAGACCUGUAUGAAUGGCAAAACGAGGGCUUAACUGUCUCCCCCCUCCAGUCAAUGAAAUUGACCUCCCCGUGCAGAGGCGGGGAUUAACCUAUAAGACGAGAAGACCCUGUGGAGCUUUAGACCUAAAAUAAACCCACCCAGCAAGCUCCGAAACGAGUCAUAACCCGGUGAAAAUUAUUGAUGUGUCUUUGGUUGGGGCGACCAUGGGGAAACACAAAACCCCCACGAAGAUAGAGGACACACUCCUCAACAUCUAGAGCCACCCCUCCAAAUAACAAAACUUUUGACUUAAAAAUGAUCCGGCGCAGCCGAAUAACGAACCCAGUUACCCCAGGGAUAACAGCGCAAUCCCCUUCCAGAGCCCCUAUCGACAAGGGGGUUU
rnacentral:rRNA from 1 species